GACGAACGCUGGCGGCGUGCUUAACACAUGCAAGUCGAACGGAAAGGCCCCUUUGGGGGUCCUCGAGUGGCGAACGGGUGAGUAACACGUGAGUAACCUGCCCUUGACUUCGGGAUAACUUCAGGAAACUGGGGCUAAUACCGGAUAGGAAUCCUUGCUGCAUGGUGGUGGUUGGAAAGCUUCGGCGGUUUUGGAUGGACUCGCGGCUUAUCAGCUUGUUGGUGGGGUAGUGGCUUACCAAGGCUUUGACGGGUAGCCGGCCUGAGAGGGCGACCGGCCACAUUGGGACUGAGAUACGGCCCAGACUCCUACGGGAGGCAGCAGUGGGGAAUAUUGCACAAUGGGCGGAAGCCUGAUGCAGCAACGCCGCGUGCGGGAUGACGGCCUUCGGGUUGUAAACCGCUUUCAGCAGGGGCGAAGCUUGUGGUGACGGUACCUGCAGAAGAAGCACCGGCUAACUACGUG
rnacentral:rRNA from 1 species